GAUGAACGCUGGCGGCGUGCCUAAUACAUGCAAGUCGAACGAAACUUCUUUAUCACCGAGUGCUUGCACUCACCGAUAAAGAGUUGAGUGGCGAACGGGUGAGUAACACGUGGGCAACCUGCCCAAAAGAGGGGGAUAACACUUGGAAACAGGUGCUAAUACCGCAUAACCAUAGUUACCGCAUGGUAACUAUGUAAAAGGUGGCUAUACUACCGCUUUUGGAUGGGCCCGCGGCGCAUUAGCUAGUUGGUAGGGUAAAGGCUUACCAAGACAAUGAUGCGUAGCCGAAUUGAGAGGUUGAUCGGCCACAUUGGGACUGAGACACGGCCCAAACUCCUACGGGAGGCAGCAGUAGGGAAUCUUCCACAAUGGGCGAAAGCCUGAUGGAGCAACGCCGCGUGGGUGAAGAAGGUCUUCGGAUCGUAAAACCCUGUUGUUAGAGAAGAAAGUGCGUGAGAGUAACUGUUCACGUUUCGACGGUAUCUAACCAGAAAGCCACGGCUAACUACGUG
rnacentral:rRNA from 1 species